rnacentral:rRNA from 1 species
AUACGUAGGGAGCAAGCGUUGUCCGGAAUUACUGGGCGUAAAGGGCGCGUAGGUGGACAUUUAAGUCAGAUGUGAAAACUCUGGGCUCAACUUGGAGAUUGCAUUUGAAACUGGACGUCUUGAGGGUAGGAGAGGAAAGUGGAAUUCCUAGUGUAGCGGUGAAAUGCGUAGAUAUUAGGAGGAACACCAGUGGCGAAGGCGACUUACGGAACUAUACCUGACGAUGAGGCGCGAAAGCGUGGGGAGCGAACGGGAUGAGAUACCCCGGUAGUCCACGCCGUAAACGAUGGAUACUAGGUGUAGGGGGUAUCGACCCCUUCUGUGCCGCAGCUAACGCAAUAAGUAUCCCGCCUGGGGCCUAAGGUCGCAAGACUAAAACUCAAAGGAAUUGACGGGG